rnacentral:rRNA from 1 species
GACAGAGGGUGCAACCGUUGUUCGGAAUUACUGGGCGUAAAGCGCGCGUAGGCGGCUUGGCAAGUCGGGUGUGAAAGCCCCGGGCUCAACCUGGGAAGUGCACUCGAAACUGCUUGGCUUGAGUACUGGAGAGGGAAGCGGAAUUCUCGGUGUAGAGGUGAAAUUCGUAGAUAUCAAGUGGAACACCAGUGGCGAAGGCGAAUCCCUGGAAAAUACCUGACACUGAGGCACGAAAGCUAGGGGAGCAAACAGG